UGAAAGCCGCAGCCCGACUUGAGUGGAAAUCCUUUUUUGCUUAUACUCAAGUUCUAUUUAAACUGAAAUCGUCUGGCAAAAAAGAUUGGGAACGGAAGGCGGAAAUAGCU
rfam:Epilithonimonas sp. FH1 contig07, whole genome shotgun sequence.